UACGUAGGAGGCGAGCGUUGUCCGGAAUUACUGGGCGUAAAGAGCGCGUAGGUGGCGCGAUACGACCGGUGUGAAAUCCUCCGGCUCAACUGGAGGGGGUCACUGGUAACGGUCGUGCUUAUGAGUGCAGGAGAGGGACGUGGAACUCCGGGAGUAGCGGUGAAAUGCGUAGAGACCCGGAGGAACACCAGUGGCGAAGGCGGCGUCCUGGCCUGCGACUGACGCUGAGGUGCGAAAGCGUGGGGAGCAAACAGG
rnacentral:rRNA from 1 species